GAGUCUUUGCAGUAUGCAAGGCAUACGGCUCAGUAACACGUAGUCAACUUAACUAAGAGACGAGGAUAAUCUCGGGAAACUGAGCAUAAUACUCGAUAGAUCAUAGUGCCUGGAAUGGUUUAUGGUUGAAAUGAUUCGUCGCCAUAUGAUGGGGCUGCGGCCUAUCAGCUUGUUGGUGAGGUAAUGGCCCACCAAGGCGAUUACAGGUACGGGCUAUGAGAGGAGAAGCCCGGAGAUGGGUACUGAGACAAGGACCCACGCCCUAUGGGGCGCAGCAGGCGAGAAAACUUUGCAAUGUGCGAAAGCACGACAAGGUUAAUCCGAGUGAUUUCUGCUAAAGAAAUCUUUUGCAAGUCAUAAAACCACUAGUGAAUAAGGGGUGGGCAAGUUCUGGUGUCAGCCGCCGCGGUAAAACCAGCACCUCA
rnacentral:rRNA from 1 species